AGUAGCAAGUUCUUAACCACAGAGCCAUCUCUCGACCCCCAAGGUGUCCACCACCAUGUCUGGCUGCUUCAUAACACCUUGUCACAGUGGUUCAAAUAACUGCUUUUAUGAAAUUGUGAAAUUCUGUUUUGAGCAACAAGAGACCUUCUGCUGCAGCUGUGACUUCUUUACCACAUUUGCAGUCUGCUAAGUCGCAGCAUGCCAUCCAGACGCCCGAGGAACAAGCGCUGAGAAACCUCCGGGAAGCGAGACUUAAAAGGCCUUCUGAAGGCCUCGAGACUUCGGAGCAUUUCUCAAACAGUCCUCCCAACAGCGGUAAGCCUCGAGGAAUGCUGUCUCUGCGCGUCUCUUAGCUGUUGUUUAAGAAAAUACCCCAUUCAUGAGGUGGUGGCGCAUUUGAUAUCACCACCAUUUAAAGAGGAAUGGAGUUACGGAACAAGAAGUAUAUAAUUAGUAUAUAAUCCCUCUUAGUGAGGGAGGAAAGCACAAAGCCAUGGAAGAAAGGACAGGCUCUGGAGGCCAGGCAAUCAGUGCACACCAGAAAUGCAUUUCAACUUUUAUUUGAAAACAACUUAAAAUUUUAGACAAAUGAUUUUAGUAUAUAAAUUUGAUUUUGCUUUUAUACAGAAUAUAAAGAUUUCCCUCAUUAAUCUUCCAUGUGAAGGGGAUACAGGCCAGAAGAAAGACGCACUCAGAACACAAAGUACACCUCAUAUGUGUGGCACUGGAGACAAGCGGUGUCGUGCUCCUGCACAUAUAUUAGGACCAAGUGGUGACAUCACACAUUAAGGGGGAGGAGAAAGAUUCUAGCCAAUCAGAUUCAAGAAGCAAACAGGACACAGAAUCUGCAAAUAAGACCAAGUCAGCAACUUUAGUCAGGACAGUGCAGGUCUAUGGGGCUGUGAGGCUACAGUGUGUAUACGGACAAAACAGGGAGAGUUAGGUAGAGAGAGGCUCAACGAGGGAGUUUUCACUAAAGCAAAUGAACUUCUUGUCAACUGCCAAAACAAAA